rnacentral:rRNA from 1 species
AUUGAACGCUGGCGGCAGGCCUAACACAUGCAAGUCGAGCGGAUGAAGGGAGCUUGCUCCUGGAUUCAGCGGCGGACGGGUGAGUAAUGCCUAGGAAUCUGCCUGGUAGUGGGGGAUAACGUCCGGAAACGGGCGCUAAUACCGCAUACGUCCUGAUGGAGAAAGUGGGGGAUCUUCGGACCUCACGCUAUCAGAUGAGCCUAGGUCGGAUUAGCUAGUUGGUGGGGUAAAGGCCUACCAAGGCGACGAUCCGUAACUGGUCUGAGAGGAUGAUCAGUCACACUGGAACUGAGACACGGUCCAGACUCCUACGGGAGGCAGCAGUGGGGAAUAUUGGACAAUGGGCGAAAGCCUGAUCCAGCCAUGCCGCGUGUGUGAAGAAGGUCUUCGGAUUGUAAAGCACUUUAAGUUGGGAGGAAGGGAAGUAAGUUAAUACCUUGCUGUUUUGACGUUACCAACAGAAUAAGCACCGGCUAACUUCGUG